GAUGAAGAACGUAGCGAAAUGCGAUAAGUAAUGUGAAUUGCAGAAUUCAUUGAAUCAUCGAAUCUUUGAACGCACCUUGCGCUCCUUGGUAUUCCGAGGAGCAUGCCUGUUUGAGUGUCAUGAAAUUCUCAACCUUUUCAGCUUUCUUUGUUGAUCAGGCUUGGAUGUGGGAGUAUGCGGGCUUCUCAGAAGUCGGCUCUCCUGAAAUGCAUUAGCGGGACCUUUGUUGCCUGGCUUUGGUGUGAUAAUUAUCUACGCCAUUGUAGUCAAGCAGCUUAAAAUGAGGUUUCAGCUUCUAACCGUCUCCCCUGAGACAACUUUUUGACAAUUUGACCUCAAAUCAGGUAGGACUACCCGCUGAACUUAAGCAUAUCAAUAAGCGGAGGA
rnacentral:misc_RNA from 1 species